GGCGGAUGUAGCCAAGUGGCUCAAGGCAGUG
rnacentral:tRNA from 22 species